rnacentral:rRNA from 1 species
UGGCGGCAGGCUUAACACAUGCAAGUCGAACGGGCUCUUCGGAGCUAGUGGCAGACGGGUGAGUAACGCGUGGGAACCUACCUAUAAGUACGGAACAACACAGAGAAAUUUGUGCUAAUACCGUAUGUGCUCUUUGGAGUAAAGAUUUAUCGCUUAUAGAUGGGCCCGCGUUAGAUUAGCUAGUUGGUGAGGUAAUGGCUCACCAAGGCGACGAUCUAUAGCUGGUCUGAGAGGAUGAUCAGCCACACUGGGACUGAGACACGGCCCAGACUCCUACGGGAGGCAGCAGUGAGGAAUAUUGGACAAUGGGGGCAACCCUGAUCCAGCCAUGCCGCGUGAGUGAUGACGGCCUUAGGGUUGUAAAGCUCUUUCGCUAGGGAAGAUAAUGACGGUACCUAGUAAAGAAGCCCCGGCUAACUUCGUGCCAGCAGCCGCGGUAAUACGAAGGGGGCUAGCGUUGUUCGGAAUCACUGGGCGUAAAGCGCGCGUAGGCGGACUUUUAAGUCAGGGGUGAAAUCCCGGGGCUCAACCUCGGAACUGCCUUUGAUACUGGAAGUCUUGAGUUCGAGAGAGGUGAGUGGAAUACCGAGUGUAGAGGUGAAAUUCGUAGAUAUUCGGUGGAACACCAGUGGCGAAGGCGGCUCACUGGCUCGAUACUGAC